UUGCACCUAGUGGAUACUAGGGUUCAUCAGCAAUUUGAGGUGGAUCGGGCAAUCAAAUCCUAAUAUCUUGGUUUAUAACAUUGGUGGGCACUUUCAGUUUCAUGGUAAAACACUUAUUUUUGAGGCAUUUGAUCAAGCAUGGUCAUGCCUUAAUCUUUGGGGUUUAACACAUACCUUAUUGACCAAGUGCUCAUUGGUUUUCAUACCUCACUU
rnacentral:lncRNA from 1 species